UGUUAGAGUUGCAGAGGCCAA
rnacentral:piRNA from 1 species